rnacentral:rRNA from 1 species
AGUGAACGCUGGCGGUAGGCCUAACACAUGCAAGUCGAACGGCAGCACAGUAAUAGCUUGCUCUUACGGUUGGCGAGUGGCGGACGGGUGAGGAAUACAUCGGAAUCUACUUUUUCGUGGGUGAUAACGUAGGGAAACUUACGCUAAUACCGCAUACGACCUACGGGUGAAAGCAUGGGAUCUUCUGCCCUUUCGCGUUUGUAUGAGCCGAUGUCGGUUUAGCUAGUUGGCUGGGUAAAGGCCCACCAAGGCGACGAUCCGUAGAUGGUCUGAGAGGAUGAUAAGCCACACUGGAACGGAGACACGGUACAGACUCCUACGGGAGGCAGCAGGGGGGAAUAUUGGACAAUGGGCGAAAGCAUGAUCCAGCAAGACCGCGUGGGUGAAGAAGGCCUUCGGGUUGUAAAGCCCUUUUGUUGGGAAAGAAAAGCAGCAGGUUAAUACCCCGCUGUUCUGACGGUAACCAAAGAAUAAGCACCGGCUAACUUCGUG